rnacentral:lncRNA from 1 species
CCUUACAGGAAUUUCCAUAACAAAGAUAUCAAGGAAAUUGAAGCACAAUAGACCUGGGAGCAUGGACAGCUAACUUGGAGAGCUCUGAUUAAGGGAGAGCAGAUGAAGAAGCUAGAGCAGAGCUACUUAUACAGCUGCUUGGAUAACAUCUGUUGAAUGAUGUAAGUAAAAUGUAAGUAAGUCAGUAAAAUCAGAGUCCCUCCAAUGUCCCAACCCCAUCCCUGCCAUAAAAAGCAAGAUUGCUGU